UAAAAUACAAAGGCUCGUGGCUGAAGAAAUAUUUUUUUUAAUAAUCUGUAAAGAUCAACUCUCUGGAAAAAAAAAUUAAAGGAGACAAGACUACAAAAAGACAAGGUUUAAUCAAAGUCAUGCUUGGAGUUAAUAUUUUGCACACAAGAGCCUUGUUUACACCGGGCUGUGCUCACAGAGGAGGACACUUAUGACCAAGCCCAUCCAUCUCUACCCAGACACAUUGCUGUUCCUUGGCAGGCUGCCCAGGCAAGAGUGCACAGGAGCAGGCGACAUGAAGGUUACUGCACCUGAAGGUAACUGGCGAUGCACCCGCUGAGAAGUUCUGCCAGUUGGCCACCAGGUGGAAGCAGGGCUGCACUCGGGGAAUUGCAGCUCCUCCGGGGCUGCGCUCAGCUCCAAAACAAAGCCUAACAAAGCCCCUGCCCACCCCAGCAGAGUCGGGAUAAAGGCACCCACCAGCCUCUCAUGUGGAGUGAGCUGCACCAGCACACUGAUGGCUCAGGCAGUGUUACCACCUGGCUGGUCGGCCCUUACUGUAACCACCAGGAACAAUACUCGGGGGGUGUUUAUCUCCCACCAUCCCAGCUCUUCAUCACCAAUUUUUCAUCAUUCUCUAACCUGAGGUUGCAGCUUCAGGACCAGCAUGUAGCAGCACUGACUGUAAACUUUUUCUCUUAAAUAAAAUAAACAGAGGUAAGUUGUGUGAA